UCUGGAAGACUUAGACACAGAGAUGGGGACUUGAGUCUUAGUCGCACUUAAGUCGCACAAACAGCUGACUUCAGACUUGACUCGGACUCGACCCAAAAGACUUCAGACUUGACUCGGACUCGAGCU